AACGAACGCUGGCGGCAGGCCUAACACAUGCAAGUCGAGCGGACCUUUCGGGGUCAGCGGCGGACGGGUGAGUAACGCGUGGGAAUAUGCCCUUCUCUACGGAAUAGUCCUGGGAAACUGGGGGUAAUACCGUAUACGCCCUUUGGGGGAAAGAUUUAUCGGGGAAGGAUUAGCCCGCGUUGGAUUAGGUAGUUGGUGGGGUAAUGGCCUACCAAGCCGACGAUCCAUAGCUGGUUUGAGAGGAUGAUCAGCCACACUGGGACUGAGACACGGCCCAGAAUCCUACGGGAGGCAGCAGUGGGGAAUCUUAGACAAUGGGGGCAACCCUGAUCUAGCCAUGCCGCGUGAGUGAUGAAGGCCUUAGGGUUGUAAAGCUCUUUCAGCUGGGAAGAUAAUGACGGUACCAGCAGAAGAAGCCCCGGCUAACUCCGUG
rnacentral:rRNA from 1 species